AGAGUUUGAUCCUGGCUCAGGACGAACGCUGGCGGCGUGCCUAAAACAUGCAAGUCGAACGGGGGAGCAAUCCCCAGUGGCGAACGGCGGAGUAAUACAUGAGAAACGUGCCCUGAAGACUGGGAUAGUCGUUGGAAACGACGGGUAAUACCAGAUGUGGCGGAUCCUUGGCAUCUUGGAUCCACUAAACGGUUUUUCGCUUCAGGAGCGUCUCAUGGCCUAUCAGGUAGUUGGUGAGGUAACGGCUCACCAAGCCGACGACGGGUAGCGGGUCUCAGAGGAUGAUCCGCUCGAGUGGGACUGAGACACGGCCCACACACCUACGGGUGGCAGCAGUUGGGAAUCUUGCACAAUGGGGGAAACCCUGAUGCAGCGACGCCGCGUGGAGGAUGACGGGUCUAGGCCUGUAAACUCCUUUUAUCGGGAAAGACUUAGGACGGUACCCGAUGAAUAAGGACCGGCUAACUACGUGCCAGCAGCCGCGGUAAGACGUAGGGUCCAAGCGUUGUCCGGAUUUACUGGGCGUAAAGAGCGCGUAGGCGGCUCGUUAAGUGUGAAGUGAAAUCUCUAGGGCUCAACCCAGAAACUGCUUUACAUACUGGCGAGCUAGAGGGAUGCAGAGGUUUGUGGAAUUCCUGGUGUAGCGGUGAAAUGCGUUGAUAUCAGGAGGAACACCCAUGGCGAAGGCAGCAAACUGGGCAUCAUCUGACGCUGAGGCGCGAAAGCGUGGGUAGCAAACAGGAUUAGAUACCCCUGGUAGUCCACGCCCUAAACGAUGGAUACUAGGCGUAAGAGGUAUCGACCCCUCUUGUGCCGCAGCUAACGCAUUAAGUAUCCCGCCUGGGGAGUACGCCCGCAAGGUUGAAACUCAAAGGAAUUGACGGG
rnacentral:rRNA from 1 species